rfam:Triticum aestivum genome assembly, contig: Triticum_aestivum_CS42_TGACv1_scaffold_032469_1BL
CUAGUACUCCCUCCGUCUGAAAAUACUUGUCAUUAAAAUGGAUAAAAAAAGAUGUAUCUAGAACUAAAAUACGUCUAGAUACAUCUUCUUUUAUUCAUUUUGAUGACAAGUAUUUCCGUACGGAUGGAGUACCGG